rnacentral:rRNA from 1 species
CCUACGGGAGGCAGCAGUGGGGAAUAUUGCACAAUGGGGGCAACCCUGAUGCAGCGACGCCGCGUGAGUGAAGAAGUAAUUCGUUAUGUAAAGCUCUAUCAGCAGGGAAGAAAAUGACGGUACCUGAGUAAGAAGCCCCGGCUAACUACGUGCCAGCAGCCGCGGUAAUACGUAGGGGGCAAGCGUUAUCCGGAUUUACUGGGUGUAACGGGAGCGUAGACGGCAGUGCAAGUCUGGAGUGAAAGGCGGGGGCUCAACCCCCGGAUUGCUCUGGAAACUGUACGGCUGGAGUGCAGGAGAGGUAAGUGGAAUUCCUAGUGUAGCGGUGAAAUGCGUAGAUAUUAGGAGGAACACCAGUGGCGAAGGCGGCUUACUGGACUGUAACUGACGUUGAGGCUCGAAAGCGUGGGGAGCAAACAGGAUUAGAUACCCGGGUAGUC